CUCCUCAACGCCCUCCUGCCCCGCGCCGUGCCACCCCGGGACAUCUGUCCCCGGCCACAGAUGUCACAGUUCCUGUGCCUGAGGAACAUCCGCACCUUCCUGACGGCGUGCGCCGACAAAUUCGGGCUCCCCAAGCACCGGCUCUUCGGAGCCUUCGACCUCUUCGACGUCCAGGAUUUCGGCAAGGUGAUCGAGACGCUCUCGACGCUGUCCUGGACCCCGAUCGCGCAGAGCAAAGGAUUCACG